UAUAGACAAUCUACAGACAAUCUACAGACAACCCAACAGAGCUCCUCCUGUGCUUUCACCUGUACACAAUGCCAGGGCCCAGCUGGACCGAAAAUGUGGGUAUUUCUGGGUUUGUGUCCACCAGGACAUGAGGGAGGAUAUACUACAGAGUUCUCAGAGCACUUUGCACACCAUCUGAGAUCAGGUGAUGACAGUGAAGACGAAUUACUCAUUAAAUACACCAGGUAUCAUCCCGCAAAUGCAGCCAAUGCCAGUACAGUGGAAACGUCCACACAUGGAAGGAGGAGGUCCAUGGGAAGGCUGCGCUCAGGGAGGCUGCAGGCGUUCAAAUGUUUCAUAAAAGAAUCAAUGAAAGUUGCACCUGAAACACUGGUGCAGUACACCAGCUAUGAUCAGGGCGUUCCGGAGGUGAUCCUAUGUUCUCAGAAGCUCUACAUGCAAAUCCCUUCAACUUUGCUCAGGGGGAUGAGCUCACCGCAGAAAUUGUCCUGGUUUUUGACCUCAAAAUCCAGGCGCAUCAUUUUGAAAAACAAAGAUGAAGACCACAAAGGGGAACAGACUCAAUUUACUGAAAAGCACCAGAUAUUUGCACAGAAGCACCUCAACAGAAAAGGCACACAGAGGAAAAUCACAUGGAGACACAAGGAGAUGGUGGAUGGCUGUCAACAGGGACAAGAGUCUUCUCAUGAGCGCUGAUCACUCUUGACCUUGGACUUCCAUCUCUACAAAGAGAAAAAGUCAGUUCCAGCUGCUUAGGGGAUCUGUUCUGUGGUACUCACUAUGGCGGCCUCAGCCUGCGGAUGUGAAGAUUUAGGAAGGCAAAUAAGAAAAACCUACAGAGCAGAAGAAAAUCAGUGAGGCAAACCAGGUCUACGUGAGCAGAGAGCCUGAGGAAGGUCCUGGCUGGCAGCCGCGCAGGAGGAAACGUGACAUUCGGGAGUUCCUGUGUGAGAAGGUUCUGAACAAGGAGAGAUGGAUCCGAGUUACUGAAACCAUUCCAGAGCCAGGACCGGACCAGGCAGGCUCACCUCCAACUCUCCAGGUUCUUACAAUCUGUUCCCAUUGCUACAGCCCACUGCUUGUGCGUCCUCUUCUCCGUGUGUUGUACCAGCCAUUCCCCACCUCCUGCUCUGCUCUCAGUUCCAGCUGGCCUUUUACCGCGCGCUUUUCAUCUUUCCUCACUGUAACCAAGUACUUUACCAGAAACUUAAGGAGAAGUUUACUAGGCUCACGGUUUUGGAUGUUCGAAUGCAUCAUCAGCUGGCUCCAGGGCAGAAACUCCACGGCACAAGUGCGUGCUGAGCAGAGCUGCCCACCUCACGGUAGCUGGGAAGCAGAGAGAGAGAGGGAAGGGGGCUGGGAUCGAACACAGCCCUCAAGAUCACACUCCUACCACCCACUCUUAAACAAGGCCUCAUGUGUUAGUCUCCAUUAUCCCGCAGUACUGCUACCAAAGUAAGAGCCAUCAGCUGGUGAACCCGCUGGGGAACUUACAGCCCCCACCUCCCAUCACCUUCCCGGAAGGCCUGUCCGUGAACACACCGGAGCUCGGGGGACAUUUCAGACAUAAAUCAUGACAUACUCGCACUCAGACUGCCAGAGGAGAGAGGAAGAAGGCGGGCCAUACGAAUGGGCAUAAUGGAAGCACUGACUACACUUUGAAGAGGUCUUGGGAGGUGUGUCGGUAGGCCAAGGAGAUUCUGGAAAGUACAUAUAACCUGCAACAGGUAUGUAAGACAUGAGUAGUUUAGCAAGCCAAAUGGUAACACUAGGAAACAACUCAUCCCCAUUAUAAGAGCCAUCUAUGCAGGGGGGAAGUGUAGCAUGAUGCUGUUACUAAACAAAAAAGGUGCUCUUUUGAGAAUGACUCCAUUAAAAUCUGUUUUAUUCACCUCUGUAACAGACUGGCUCAGUUUCAAUGUCAAACUGCAGAAGGCUUUAUCCACACUCUUGGUGUCCGCCAACUGUGAGGAAAGCAAGCCAUUUUUGUUCAGCACCUGCCAAAGCAAGGCCUGGGUCUGGGGCAGCAUUUCAUAAAUGCAGCGAAUGAAAAGUACCGACCCUUCUUUUACCUCUAUGCCAUUACGGGCCAUCAAGCUGAAGACAAAGACUGCAAGUCCUCUCCGAAGCAGCUCACAGCUGGUCCAAGUGUCACUCCUAUGGCCAUCUGGUAAAACCAACCCAACGAACAAAAACCAGAAAAACCUCUAACUUUAUCAAAGAGCUAUCUCUUCAUAUACUUAUUGCUUGGACCCAAAACCUGUUUCACGGAGGCAAGUUCCUCCACAUACAGGAAAGAAGAAAGAGGGCAAAUAUAACAUGCCUGUGACAUCCGAGAAGACUCCCUUCUGUUAAAUGCAACCGUGAACGACACGGCUUCACAAGGAUUCAUUGAAGCCUCAUCUUUCAAGCUCAGUGUAAGUUUAAAUAGAUCCCAGCUCCAUUCAAUCUCAGCUCAGGGCAAUCACAACUGUAACUAACGCCUACGUCUUUCAUCUUUUGACAAUGAAAUUAAAAUAUUGCUUCAUGCUACGGUGGAAGAGAACACUCUAAAAUAAAUAAUCCCGAAGUUGAAAUAAAACUGAAAAUAACAGCAGCACCUUCCUGCAGCAGUAGGAGGCAAGGCUGAUGAAUGGAAGCUUCUCGUGCAAACUGAACGAACGCGCUGAUUUUGAAGGAAGGUGGAAGGAGACUGAGUUACUCCACGGACAGCAGGUAGUUCAGAAAGGAAGCCAAAAUGAACCAAUGUAAAUAAAAGGAGUGAUUAUUUUCUGAAAGGAAGGAUACACUAGGAAACUCAGUCAGAAGAGUGAAGUAUUUACCUGAGAUACCCCAUUUCAGAGAAGUUAUGGAAAUCAAAGGCAUUCCUGAGCACAUAGUGGACAGAGAUUGUUUUGGAACAGUAAAUUCUCCGUGCUCUUGGUCUGGAAUCCUUGAGGCUUGAAACUUCAUCUCUUAAGUCGAUGGUUAAGUCUGCCUUUACCACGCCAAGCAGCACCCGUGUUUUCAGCAUAACGGCAUCUGUGUGGGUGCUCCUGGCAUGAGCCCCAGUGCCGGCAUCAGCCUGGAAGGCUCUGUGAUCUGCCUGCCUAGUUAUGAGGCCGGCCUCGCUAGGCUAACACAGCUCCUUCCUCUACUCACUGUUCGUCUUCCUUGGACAAUUUAAUCUUGCUCCAAAGACAUCGGUGACUCUGGAAUUGGAAGGUAUCUAAUGACUCAGUAAGUCUGACCAUCUCCUUACAUUACUUGAGUCUUCCUUUCCCCUGGGCUUUUUGCCCUCUAGAUUUUGGAUUCAUAAAACAACCCAAUUCCCAUCUACUCAUUUUCCACUGCAUAAAUAAAAACAAAGCCAAAGUCAUUA